rnacentral:ribozyme from 14 species
GGGAAAGAGAAGAGAGAGAAGAGAGAGAAACCAGAGACAAUGAGAGGAGGGGGAGGCUCCGGGGACAUUUUCUCUUUUCGUGUUUUCUUUUCUUUUCUUUUUUU